rnacentral:rRNA from 1 species
GAUGAACGCUGGCGGCGUGCAUAACACAUGCAAGUCGAACGAAGUGGCGGACGGGUGAGUAACGCGUGAGUAACCUGCCUUAGAGAAGGGGAAAGCCUGUGGAAACGAAGAAUAAUACCCUAAACUCUAAGAUGGACUUGCGUCUGAUUAGUUAGGUGUGGAGGUAACGGCACACCAAGACAGCGAUCAGUAGCCGGCUUGAGAGAGUGUACGGCCCCAUUGGGACUGAGACACGGCCCAGACUCUACGGGAGGCAGCAGUGGGGAAUGUUGCACAAUGGGGGAAACCCUGAUGCAGCGACGCCGCGUGAUUUAGAAGGCCUUCGGGUUGUAAAAAUCUUUUCUAUGGGAAGCAGUACCAUAGGAAUAAGGACCGGCUAACUACGUGCCAGCAGCCGCGGUAAUAC